GGCGGACGGGUGAGUAAUGUCUGGGAAACUGCCUGAUGGAGGGGGAUAACUACUGGAAACGGUAGCUAAUACCGCAUAACGUCGCAAGACCAAAGAGGGGGACCUUCGGGCCUCUUGCCACCAGAUGUGCCCAGAUGGGAUUAGCUAGUAGGUGGGGUAACGGCUCACCUAGGCGACGAUCCCUAGCUGGUCUGAGAGGAUGACCAGCCACACUGGAACUGAGACACGGUCCAGACUCCUACGGGAGGCAGCAUG
rnacentral:rRNA from 1 species